rnacentral:rRNA from 1 species
UACGAAGGGGGCUAGCGUUGCUCGGAAUCACUGGGCGUAAAGGGUGCGUAGGCGGGUUUUUAAGUCAGGGGUGAAAUCCUGGAGCUCAACUCCAGAACUGCCUUUGAUACUGAAGAUCUUGAGUCCGGGAGAGGUGAGUGGAACUGCGAGUGUAGAGGUGAAAUUCGUAGAUAUUCGGAAGAACACCAGUGGCGAAGGCGACACACUGGCCCGUUACUGACGCUGAGGCUCGAAAGCGUGGGGAGCAAACAGG